AAACAUUGUUUAUAAAAGUUAUUAUAAAUACAACCUGCUCAAUGAAAAAAUUUAAAUAGCUGCAAUUUUUGUACUAAGGUAGCAUAAUCAUUUGUUUUUUAAUUUUAAACUAGAAUGAAAGGUAAAACAAAUCAUUUCUUUAUUUUUUAUUUUAUUUUAACUUAUAUUAAAUAUAAAAAUAUAUUUUUUAAAAAAAAAGACGACAAGACCCUAUUGAACUUCACUUUAGUUUAGCUGGGGAAGCUAAAUAAUAAAUAUUUUAUUAUAAAUUUUAUAAAUGACCCAAAAUAUUUGAUUAACUAAUCAAGUUACCAUAGGGAUAACAGCGCAAUAAAUUUUUUAAGUUCUUAUACAAAAAUUUGCUUACGACCUCGAUGUUGAAUUAGAAAUCUAUAUUAAGCAAAAAUAAUAAAAGUAGGUCUGUUCGACCUUUAAAAUUCUACAUGAUCUGA
rnacentral:rRNA from 5 species